GCGCGGCUGGCGAAGUGGUAACGCGUCUGUUUCCCAUAACAAUACGUUAUUGGGAUUUGCAGGAGCUCGUGGGUUCAAUCCCCGCGUCGCGCA